GCGAAUAAUAAACUGGAGGGGGUGGAGAUUUAUAAACUGGUGGUGGUGGAGAGUGGUAAACAGGUGGUGGAGGAGAAUGGUAGACUGGAGGCGGUGGAGAUUUAUAAACUGGAGGUGGUGGAGAGUGGUAAACAGGUGGUGGAGGAGAAUGGUAAACUGGAGGGGGUGGAGAUUUAUAAACUGGAGGUGGUGGAGAGUGGUAAACAGGUGGUGGAGGAGAAUGGUAGACUGGAGGCGGUGGAGAUUUAUAAACUGGUGGUGGUGGAGAGUGGUAAACAGGUGGUGGAGGAGAAUGGUAAACUGGAGGGGGUGGAGAUUUAUAAACAGGUGGUGGUGGAGAGUGGUAAACAGGUGGUGGAGGAGAAUGGUAAACUGGUGGGGGUGGAGAUUUGUAAACUGGUGGUGGAGGAGAAUGGUAAACUGGUGGGGGUGGAGAUUUAUAAACGGGAGGUGGUGGAGAGUGGUAAACAGGUGGUGGAGGAGAAUAGUAAACUGGAGGGGGUGGAGAUUUGUAAACUGGUGGUGGAGGAGAAUGGUAAACUGGUGGGGGUGGAGAUUUAUAAACUGGAGGUGGUGGAGAGUAAACAGGUGGUGGAGGAGAAUGGUAAACUGGAGGUGGUGGAGAGUGAUAAAUAG
rnacentral:lncRNA from 1 species